AUAUAAAAACAGUUAGGAUAAAACCAAAAAAAAA
rnacentral:sRNA from 1 species